GACGAACGCUGGCGGCGUGCCUAACACAUGCAAGUCGAACGGAAAGGCCCUGCUUUUGUGGGUUGCUCGAGUGGCGCACGGGUGUGUAACACGUGAGUAACAUGCCCUUAACUUUGUGAUAACUUCAGGAAACUGCGGCUAAUACCGGAUAGGAGCUCCUGCUGCAUGGUGGGGGUUGGAAAGUUUCGGCGGUUGGGGAUGGACUCGCGGCUUAUCCGCUUGUUUGUCGGGUAGUGGCUUACCAAGCCUUUGACGGGUAGCCGGCCUGAGAGGGUGACCGGCCACAUGGGGACUGAGAGACGGCCCAGACGCCUACGGGAGGCAGCAGGGGGGAAUAUUGCACAAUGGGCGGAAGCCAGAGGCAGAAACGCCGCGUGCGGGAUGACGGGCUUCGGGUGGUAAACCGCUGUGGCCUGUGACGAAGCGGGAGUGACGGUAAUGGGUAAAGAAGCACCGGCUAACUACGUG
rnacentral:rRNA from 1 species